rnacentral:lncRNA from 1 species
AUGCUCCGGAAAAUGCCCGCUUUCACUGCCUCUCACAGGCUUGCAUUCACAUUACAAACUGCAUUAUCUGGAGCAUUUCAUCUUUGACUGGUGAAACAGCAUUUCCCAUUACGUGGAGAAUUCUGUCCUCUCAAGCUAGCAGCAGCCUGUCUGAGGGAAAAUCUGUGUUUGCUCCUCUCCCAUGGGUGCUUUCCCAGUGCCUGCCUCAAGCUGCCUGUCCUCUCUUGGGAUCCCCCCUGACCACACAAGCAGUUGUGGAGGUGCGUGGUGUGGAGCAGAAACUCCUGGUGGUGAUGUGGCCCUGGCCAGCUGAGGACAGGAUUUUGUGGUUUGCUUUG